rnacentral:lncRNA from 1 species
CUUCCUUUUGUAGUCAUUAACAUUGUGUUUAAAUUUCAUUGAUUUCUAUUUACUUAAACUAAAGUUAUUGUGCGAAAACCAAGAAUAAUGCUUAUUUGGGCCCUUUUUUGGCCCCUAAUUCCUAAACUGUUGAAACCAAAACUCCCAAAAUCAAUCCCAACCGUUCUUUUGUGGUCAUAAACCUUGUGUUAAAAUUUCAUAGAUUUCUAUUAACUUAAACUAAAGUUAUAGUGCGAAAACCAAGAAAAUGCUUAUUUGGGCCCUUUUUGGCCCCUAGUUCCUAAAAUGUUGGGACCAAAACUCCCAAAAUCAAUACCAACCUUCCUUUUGUGGUCAUAAACCUUGUGUUAAAAUUUCAUAGAUUUCCAUUCACUUUUACUAAAGUUAGAGUGCGAAAACUAAAAGUAUUCGGACGACGACGACGACGCCAACGUGAUAGCAAUAUACGACGAAAAAAUUUUCAAAUUUUGCGGUCGUAUAAAAAGUAAAGUUGAUA